rnacentral:rRNA from 1 species
UACGUAGGCAGCGAGCGUUGUUCGGAGUUACUGGGCGUAAAGCGUGCGUAGGCGGUGUCUUAAGUUUGUUGUGAAAUCUCCCGGCUUAACCGGGAGGGUGCGGCGAAUACUGAGAUGCUGGAGUGCCGGAGAGGUAAGCGGAAUUCCUGGUGUAGCGGUGAAAUGCGUAGAUAUCAGGAGGAACACCUGCGGCGAAGGCGGGUUGCUAGGCUGACACUGACGCUGAGUGCGCGAAAGCUAGGGGAGCAAACGGG